AUUGAACGCUGGCGGCAGGCCUAACACAUGCAAGUCGAGCGGAUGAAGGGAGCUUGCUCCUGGACUCAGCGGCGGACGGGUGAGUAAUGCCUAGGAAUCUGCCUGGUAGUGGGGGAUAACGUCCGGAAACGGGCGCUAAUACCGCAUACGUCCUGAGGGAGAAAGUGGGGGAUCUUCGGACCUCACGCUAUCAGAUGAGCCUAGGUCGGAUUAGCUAGUUGGUGGGGUAAAGGCCUACCAAGGCGACGAUCCGUAACUGGUCUGAGAGGAUGAUCAGUCACACUGGAACUGAGACACGGUCCAGACUCCUACGGGAGGCAGCAGUGGGGAAUAUUGGACAAUGGGCGAAAGCCUGAUCCAGCCAUGCCGCGUGUGUGAAGAAGGACUUCGGAUUGUAAAGCACUUUAAGUUGGGAGGAAGGGCAGUAAGUUAAUACCUUGCUGUUUUGACGUUACCAACAGAAUAAGCACCGGCUAACUUCGUG
rnacentral:rRNA from 1 species